rnacentral:rRNA from 1 species
GGGUUGCGGACAGUGUCUGGUGGGUAGUUUGACUGGGGCGGUCUCCUCCUAAAGAGUAACGGAGGAGCACGAAGGUUGGCUAAUCCUGGUCGGACAUCAGGAGGUUAGUGCAAUGGCAUAAGCCAGCUUGACUGCGAGCGUGACGGCGCGAGCAGGUGCGAAAGCAGGUCAUAGUGAUCCGGUGGUUCUGAAUGGAAGGGCCAUCGCUCAACGGAUAAAAGGUACUCCGGGGAUAACAGGCUGAUACCGCCCAAGAGUUCAUAUCGACGGCGGUGUUUGGCACCUCGAUGUCGGCUCAUCACAUCCUGGGGCUGAAGUAGGUCCCAAGGGUAUGGCUGUUCGCCAUUUAAAGUGGUACGCGAGCUGGGUUUAGAACGUCGUGAGACAGUUCGGUCCCUAUCUGCCGUGGGCGCUGGAGAACUGAGGGGGGCUGCUCCUAGUACGAGAGGACCGGAGUGGACGCAUCACUGGUGUUCGGGUUGUCAUGCCAAUGGCACUGCCCGGUAGCUAAAUGCGGAAGAGAUAAGUGCUGAAAGCAUCUAAGCACGAAACUUGCCCCGAGAUGAGUUCUCCCUGACUCCCUGAGAGUCCUGAAGGAACGUUGAAGACGACGACGUUGAUAGGCCGGGUGUGUAAGCGCAGCGAUGCGUUGAGCUAACCGGUACUAAUGAACCGUGAGGCUUAACCUUACAACGCCGAAG